GACAGAGGGUGCAAACGUUGUUCGGAAUUACUGGGCGUAAAGCGUGUGUAGGCGGUCUCAUAAGUCGGGUGUGAAAGCCCCGGGCUCAACCCGGGAAGUGCACUCGAAACUGCGAGGCUAGAGUACUAAAGAGGGUCGCGGAAUUCCCGGUGUAGAGGUGAAAUUCGUAGAUAUCGGGAGGAACACCAGUGGCGAAGGCGGCGAUCUGGGUGGAUACUGACGCUGAGGUGCGAAAGCGUGGGGAGCAAACAGG
rnacentral:rRNA from 1 species